rnacentral:ncRNA from 1 species
AUUCCUGGGGUGCCGUACGGCUGAGAAAGUUUUUACUUACCCAUUACCUGAUCUGGAUAAUGCCAGCGUAGGGAGUGAACAAAUA